rnacentral:rRNA from 1 species
GAUGAACGCUGGCGGCGUGCCUAAUACAUGCAAGUCGAGCGAACAGAUGAGGAGCUUGCUCCUCUGACGUUAGCGGCGGACGGGUGAGUAACACGUGGAUAACCUACCUAUAAGACUGGGAUAACUUCGGGAAACCGGAGCUAAUACCGGAUAAUAUAUUGAACCGCAUGGUUCAAUAGUGAAAGACGGUUUUGCUGUCACUUAUAGAUGGAUCCGCGCCGCAUUAGCUAGUUGGUAAGGUAACGCCUUACCAAGGCAACGAUGCGUAGCCGACCUGAGAGGGUGAUCGGCCACACUGGAACUGAGACACGGUCCAGACUCCUACGGGAGGCAGCAGUAGGGAAUCUUCCGCAAUGGGCGAAAGCCUGACGGAGCAACGCCGCGUGAGUGAUGAAGGUCUUCGGAUCGUAAAACUCUGUUAUUAGGGAAGAACAAAUGUGUAAGUAACUAUGCACGUCUUGACGGUACCUAAUCAGAAAGCCACGGCUAACUACGUG